GAAAAUCGCAUUCCUCCUGGACACCCGGCCCACGCUCCCUGGUCAGUCUGCGAUCAGCCCCCUGCGCUCUCGGACUCCAGCAGCCCCAACACGCCGCCCCGGAGAGUGCCAGGCAGGCCGAGCACCCGGACCCGCGCUCCUGCCACCAGCGAACCCACGAGGUACUCACGGAGAGGAGGAGUAGGCAGAACCGCCCGUCCCGCCCGAGCCGACACCCGGAACAGUGCAAAUCGACUCCCCCGCGCCCAGUGGCGCGGGCGCGAAGUGAGGCGGCCACGAAGCCACCUUACCCGCCAGCGACCGGGGUUCGGAGAGCAAGCCACGGCUCCGUGCCGCAGUGCGGACAACUGGCGGCCUGCUGACGUCGGCGCCUGCCUACACCGCCGUUCCCAUGGCGACCGACGCGUCUCGCGCUCUAGGCCUGGACCACGGCCCCGGCCCCGCCCCCGCGCCGCCGCCGCCGCCGCCGCCACCGCCACCGCCACCGCCACCGCCUCCGCCUCCGCCUCCGCCCGGGAGAAGGGGCCGCGCGGCGCCUGCACCCGAGCCCUCAGGCUGUUGGCGGGCGCGCGCUUCGGGGACCUUACGGGGCUCCAGCCUCCGAGGCCGUGCGAGCGGGAAGAGUCUCCUCCGCUUGUAGCGUCACUCAUCAUGUCUUACCUGGAUGAUGCAGAAGUCCCUGGAAACAGAAGGUCUCACCCUUCUUUAUCUUUCUCAUGGCUUUCCAAGGCACUUUAUCAUGUUACUCUCCUGCUCAGAAUUCUUUAAUGACUUGCCUCAAUGACCAGAUAUAUGUGAUCUACAAUGAGACUCCCAGCCUCAUCAUUCCUUUUCCAUUUCCUCCCCAGAAGCACUAUACUUUAUGAAGCUCCUCCAAGAUGUCGGUUCCUCUCAUGUUUAAAGGAGAAUUAUGCCAUAUGCUCUCAAAAUCAUGCAUAUUUCCCCGUCCACUUGCCCAAAUCCCAUUUCUCCUUCAAGUCUCCUUGUAAAUAUCACUUCUCCUUUGAAGGAGAUUCAAUUCUUGAUUCCCCAGGGUAGACUAGGUAUUAAUACUUAUGCUAUGCCCUAAUGGCCUUUGAACGCACAUGCCACAGUACAUUUACAUAUACAACGAAUGCUGGUAUUUUAUAUCCCUUUUGUGUUAUGAGCACCUUAAGGAUACUGCUGAUGGAUAUCUGUCUCAGUUGUUUUGUGCUGUUAUAACAGAAUAUCUGAGACUGGAUAAUUUAUAACAAACAGAAAUUUAUUUCUCACGGUUCUGGAGGCUGGAAAGUCCAAGGUCAAGGUGCCAGCAGGUUUGGUGUCUGGUAAGGACCUGUUCUUCAUUUCCAAGAUGGCACCUUAAACUCCAUAUCCAUGCCAGAAGAGCAAAAGAGAGUGAACCCAUUCCCCAAAGUCUUUUUAAUAGUGGCGUUAAUUCAUUCAUGAAGGCGGAGUCCUCAUGACCCAAACACCUUCCUUUAGGCCCCACCUCCCAACACUGUUGCAUUAGGGAUUAAUUUUUAACGUGAGUUUUGGAGGGAACAAAAACAUUCAAAGCAUAGCACCGUCCUUCUUUGUAUUUUCAGUAUUUUCCACAGCACUCUGCACAAAGCAGGCACUAAUUACUGCAUACCUUAACUGACUUUCAUUCUUUCCAUACCACUCAGAAAACAUCAAAGCCAUAGAAACUCAAAGCCUCCCUCCCACUAAGUUUUUAUUUUAAUCAGUAGUUCUCAAAAUUUUAAGAAAUCGGAUUUCUUGGAAAAAUUCAAAAUAUUUUGUGGAGAAACCACAACUGAGUCUACUAAUAAAUGCUGAUUAUCUAAGUACUGAGCUAAUUCU
ensembl:lncRNA